rnacentral:rRNA from 1 species
UACGGGGGGGGCAAGCGUUGUUCGGAAUUACUGGGCGUAAAGGGCUCGUAGGCGGCCAACUAAGUCAGACGUGAAAUCCCCAGGCUCAACCUGGGAACUGCGUCUGAUACUGGAUGGCUUGAAUCCGGGAGAGGGAUGCAGAAUUCCAGGUGUAGCGGUGAAAUGCGUAGAUAUCUGGAGGAACACCGGUGGCGAAGGCGGCUCACUGGCUCGUAACUGACGCUCAUGCACGACAGCGUGGGGAUCAAACAGG